GCCUGGCUGGCUCAGUUAGUAGAGCAUGGGACCCUUAAACUCAGGGUUGUGAGUUCAAGUCCCACGCUGGGCA
rnacentral:tRNA from 1 species